rnacentral:lncRNA from 1 species
UGGCUUGUCAUCUGAAUCACCUUGGCAGCUUCCCAGCAUUUCUGAAAAUCAGCGAUGCUUACAAGUGCUGCAUUGGGUCAUCUAGUUCAACUUCCUCCUUUAAGAGAAUGACUCAGAAAACUUAGUCUCAUUCAUAUGACAGAUCUUCUUAAUCCAUGUUGAAUGAUUUUCCAUCCCCACCUCAACCCCUAAGAUUUUAUGUUUCUACUUUCACAUCGAUUUUACUAACAUUCUUUCUUCCCUAUAAGGGAAUCCACAGUGAAGAUGCAUUAUUUCAGAGGAGACUGGAUCAAUAUUCCUUCUUCAACCUGUCACACAGAGAAGAGAGGCGCCUCUGUUUUCCCAUCAGGGAUGAGUACAGGAAACGGCAGCAUAUUUUCCACUUGUGAAUCUUGGUUUCCCUGUGGGCAAUGAUGUAUGGAACUUACGAACAAUAUGGGCAGAUCAACAAACAGCACAUAAAGGUCAUUAUGCAAUCUUUCUCGGACUCAGCUCUCUAAUUCUUAAGAACUAUUAUCCUCCAUUUACAGUUAAGUAAACUGAGGCCCUGGAAAAUGAGGCACUUUAGUUUUAAAAGCUGCUAAAGUCUAUUGCUACAUCAUGCAGUUUCAGUUCUGGACUCCACAUUUUGCUAGGGACAUUACCAACUAUCCAGAAGACAGAGAUGGGAAAUGUAAAGGGACUGCAAAAAAGCCAUGUUACAUAAAGAACCGUGAAAGAAACUGGAAAUAAUUUCCUUAGAGGACAGAAGAUUCCUAGGAAAUAAGACAAUGAACAAUGAGUGUUGGAGAAUGUCCUUUCCUGCCUCUUAAUCAUUCUGAAUCGAAACUAAUGAUAAACUUCAAUCAAUGACAUUGAGGGGAUGGGUAAGGGAUAAUAUAAAGAGUCCUCUAUGCAUGCUAAUUUGUUGUUACAUGUGACCUAAGAUGGUGGUUUCUUGCUUUAAAGACCUUACUAAUCAUUACAGAGUAUUCUUAUUCUCUGCUCAAUAAUUUGGAAAUGACUUAGGUCCUGUAACUCUCUGUGUCUCUAAUUUCUGAUCUCUGUAUUCAUCCAUGCUGUCUUUAGUACAAGUAUUUAUUUAUGUAGACUUCCCUUGUUCUGUUCUUUAUGUUACAUGGAGGAAAUUCUGAGAAACUUCAUCAGUAGCACUAUGAAACUCCUUCCAUACAGAACAGUCUAGAACAGGCAUUGUCAAACUGGGCUAAAUCUGUUCUGCCAUCUGCUUUUCUAAAGAAAAUGUUGUUGGAACACAACCACGUUCAUUCAUUUCUGUAUUGUCUGUGGCAGAGAUUGACCAUCACGAUAGAGACCAUAUGAGUUGAAAAGCCUAAAACAUUUAUUACCUGGCUCUGAACAGAAAAUACUUGCUGACUUCUGGUCUGGAACAGCACUGUGUAUAUACCUCAGGUUUAAUACUGGAAGUCUCCAUUAGUCCUUCUUCAGAGGUGACUAGAGUGCACAGUCAUAAUGACAGGGCCCCAAGGACUUCUCUAACUCACACUCCCUGUCCAGUCACCUUCACUGCAACAACCAUCUUACCAAGGGGUGCUGUCACUGCUCCUGUCCACUUUCUGGCCGUCAGAUGCCUCGAGAGUUCUUCUUGCCCUUGAUAAGGAAUAAACUUGUCAGUUGCAUGUGGCAGUUUUUCAACUGAUUUGGGAGAUGAUGCAGAUUUUGCUAUUUCUUAACUUUCAAUUGUUGUGUUUUCUGGUUCUCAGUAGGGAGACAUGAAGAAAAUUGCUGAUUCCCUUCAGUUAAAUAACAGUUUAGAUUAAACCAGCAAGAACUUUUGCUCUUUAAUAAAAUGCAAAGUUACCAUGCCUUUCUCCGGCUCGAUCAUUCAUGCAUCAUAAUGUGAAUGGAGUUGUAGGAGUAUGAUGUUUAUUCUCACAAUAGGUUUAAUUCUGAGUAAAAGCACUAAUUGAAAAAUCAGAAGAAUUUUGUCUUUAAGAGCUCAUGUUAAUGCAUGCAUUCAUCCAUCUGAAUUUUGAUGAUCUCGGUUUUUUUCUGUGUAAAUUCUUAUCAGAAUGGAGUGACUCUAAAUUGCGCCCUGCUUGUAACUUUCAUGUAUGAUUUGCUCCCUUGUUGUUUACCAGCCCUUUUAAAACUACAUAGUAGAAAGAAAAUAUUUUAAACAAUGUCACAUCCAGACGGUGAUUUCUCAAAGCUUCAAAUGCAGGCUUUAAUCCUUCUCCCAGGUUAGCCAGACUCAGGCUGCUGCACAGCACUGGGGCUUUUCAGACACAUUAAGGAUUCUGGACAGGCUUCACCCCAGACACCCUUGUGCUC